AUACGGAGGGUGCAAGCGUUAUCCGGAUUCAUUGGGUUUAAAGGGUUCGCAGGCGGCGUAUUAAGUCAGUGGUGAAAUCCCGAGGCUCAACCUCGGAACUGCCAUUGAUACUGGUAUGCUAGAGUAUAGUUGGCGUUGGCGGAAUGUAUCAUGUAGCGGUGAAAUGCUUAGAUAUGAUACAGAACACCGAUCGCGAAGGCAGCUAACGAAACUAUAACUGACGCUCAGGAACGAAAGCGUGGGGAGCGAACAGGAUUAGAAACCCGGGUAGUCC
rnacentral:rRNA from 1 species